AGAGUUUGAUCAUGGCUCAGAAUCAACGCUGGCGGCGUGCCUAACACAUGCAAGUCGAACGCGAAAGCCCCGCAAGGGGUAAGUAGAGUGGCAAACGGGUGAGUAACACGUGGGUGACCUGCCUCAGAGUGGGGGAUAACGACCCGAAAGGGUCGCUAAUACCGCAUAACAUCCUGCCUUUGGAUAGGUGGAGAUCAAAGCCGGGGAUCGCAAGACCUGGCGCUUAGAGAGGGGCCCGCGGCCGAUUAGCUAGUUGGUGAGGUAACGGCUCACCAAGGCGACGAUCGGUAUCCGGCCUGAGAGGGCGGACGGACACACUGGGACUGAGACACGGCCCAGACUCCUACGGGAGGCAGCAGUGGGGAAUUGUUCGCAAUGGGCGCAAGCCUGACGACGCAACGCCGCGUGGAGGACGAAGAUCUUCGGGUCGUAAACUCCUUUCGAUCGAGAAGAAUGCCUUCGGGGUUAAUAGCCUUGAAGGGUGACGGAUUCGAGAGAAGAAGCCCGGCUAACUCUGUGCCAGCAGCCGCGGUA
rnacentral:rRNA from 1 species